CACCACUCAAGCCUCGCUUGGUAUUGGGCAACGCGGUCCGCCGCGUGCCUCAAAUCGUCCGGCUGGGUCUUCUGUCCCCUAAGCGUUGUGGAAACUAUUCGCUAAAGGGUGUUCGGGAGGCUACGCCGUAAAACAACCCCAUUUCUAA
rnacentral:misc_RNA from 1 species